UUUGCCUUACAUCUCCGAGGAGACUAGGGACUUGAACUUUUCAGCAAGGCUGAAGCUGUUAGGACCUUGGCAAUUCUUGAAGAUGAACUAAAUGCUUUUUGCAUAAAGGCUUUGCUUCAAAUACCACCUCCCAGGAAGACCUCCUUAGCCAGUUGGGCAUGAUUGCUCCUCCCCCAGAAUUCUGCCACACCUUUGCCAUGGCUCCUGAGCUGCUGAUCACAUACAUGCUGCCUGGAUUGCACCAAGGUUGUGUGCGCAUGCUUUGCUUGACUCAAUAAACGAUAAACAAGCAUUGUCAACCAGAACUGGGAUCUACCUUUGGCUUCCAUCCCCAGAAGCAAAUCUCAUAAGAAGUGAGCACCAUUGUUCACAAGGAGGGCUUUGCAGGAGGUGGAGGAUGCUCAUAAGAGUGUGGAAAAUAAGCAAAGAUGAGCAACAUCUUUGUGGGAUGAUGCUAGCACACGUCUGCUCAGAGACAGAGUCUCCUCCUGGGAGCUCUGGGAGGAACAAAUUCACCUCUCCUUGGGACUUGUGGAUGGAGAAAUGCAGAAAAGGACAGGGUUUUGAGACACAGACAUCUACCUGGGCUGGGCUGACUACAUUAGAAGGCAUGAAACACAGCAUCCAGUUUUGGUAUCUUGGAGGUGAAUUCUGAUGCAAGUGGAAAGUUCUUCUGCAGAAUGGAAUAGUUGAGUGGAGGAACUGAGAGAGACUUCGCAAGAGGCUGUUCUGACAAGCUUCAUUGCUGAAGUGUGGAGAAGAGACCAAGACUUGCAGGAGCAACACGGAGCCAUAGCCACUUCCUGCAAUGCUUUCCAGGUGCUUCUGUGCCCUCCUCAGAGAUUUUGUGACAGUGCCAUUCCAAAAUUACUGUUGCAUGGCUUCCAUGCUACUCCUUCUGUGUAGGUCUCUGGCUCUCACAUCUCCCUGGACAUUCUCUUUUCUAUAUGGACUGGUCUUGUCUUAUCUGGUUCUCUGUCAAAUUUAUUCUCUUGGUUAGGGUUGAUACUCCUGUCUUCUCCUUAAAUUAUAUUGUUCUUCUGUUAUCUGCCUCAGAACACUUUCUACACUAAAGGUUUGUUAAUAGGAACCAAAAGAGCCUCCAAGUUCAUUGGUGAAGUUGGAUAAGACAUAUGUGUAAGAAUGAUGUUCUCUUGAAUAUUUUCAGCUUAGCUCAAUGUCAACAGAUCUAGAUAAAGGAGCCUCCUGACCCAUAUCCUGGAUCAGUGCAGACGACUUGACUAUGUGCUGGGGACACCAAGACUCCAGCUUGAGUUCUCUGUUAUUUACUAAUUGUGAGACAUGGGUAAAAAAUGUGACCAUCUUGAGCUUCUUCUGAUGUGUGAAAUGAAGGUGUUUCUAGACCUUAUUUGGUAGGGUAUUGUGUUGGCUAGGGUUCUCUAAAAGAACAGAAGCAAUAGAAAAAAAAAUAUAACAGCUUUUCAGUCUAAGGAGCUGCAAGUCAUAGGACAAGACAGAUCAAGAAUGCAGCAGUGGUCUGAACCCUGAGCCUGGGGUGCUUCCUGGAGAGUGGCUGGUGUUAGUCUGCCCUGAAAGGUUGAAAAACUAGAGUCUGAUAUCCACAGGUGAUGACAUACUCAUUCAACCAGAAUGGACCUUUUCAAAUGCCAGCUGACUUCCCACCUUAUUUCCCUCUCAUUUCAUCCAGGCUACAAGCCUAUUGCUUAGUGCUACCCACAAUCACGGGGUUCUUCUUUUUCAUGCCAAUGAUCUCUAGAAACAUGACACAGACAUACUCAGAAGCAUGCUUUACCAGGCUUUUCUUAGUCCAGUCAAGUUGACAUAUUAUAAUUAACAGUCACUGGUGAUACAGGAAGUAAACAAGAUAUGCUUAACAUACACCCAGAACGCUGUUAGAACCCAAUAAAAAGAGCACUACAUUCUUGGUAGCAAUGAGAUAGCUCUGUGUCCCAUUUGCUGUGAUGGUUACAUGGAUCUACAUCAGCAGAAACGGCAUACAAAUACACACACACAAUGACCCAGUGCCAAUUUCCUUGUUCUGACUUUGUACUAUAGUUGUACUGAAAACCUUUGGGUGAGAGGUGCAGGGGACAUCUUUGUCUUAUCUUUGCAACUUCUUAUCAAACUUUAAUUAUUUCAAGAUUAAAAAAAAA